GGUGUAGCUCAGUUUGGCUAGAGCGCUAGAUUUGGGAUCUAGAGGCCGCAGGUUCGAAUCCUGUCACC
rnacentral:tRNA from 1 species